CGUGCCAGCAGCCGCGGUAAUACGGAGGAUUCAAGCGUUAUCCGGAUUUAUUGGGUUUAAAGGGUGCGUAGGCGGUUUGAUAAGUUAGAGGUGAAAUUUCGGGGCUCAACCCUGAACGUGCCUCUAAUACUGUUGAGCUAGAGAGUAGUUGCGGUAGGCGGAAUGUAUGGUGUAGCGGUGAAAUGCUUAGAGAUCAUACAGAACACCGAUUGCGAAGGCAGCUUACCAAACUAUAUCUGACGUUGAGGCACGAAAGCGUGGGGAGCAAACAGGAUUAGAUACCCUGGUAGUCCACGCAGUAAACGAUGAUAACUCGUUGUCGGCGAUACACAGUCGGUGACUAAGCGAAAGCGAUAAGUUAUCCACCUGGGGAGUACGUUCGCAAGAAUGAAACUCAAAGGAAUUGACGGGGGCCCGCACAAGCGGAGGAACAUGUGGUUUAAUUCGAUGAUACGCGAGGAACCUUACCCGGGCUUGAAAGUUAGCGACGAUUCUUGAAAGAGGAUUUCCCUUCGGGGCGCGAAACUAGGUGCUGCAUGGUUGUCGUCAGCUCGUGCCGUGAGGUGUCGGGUUAAGUCCCAUAACGAGCGCAACCCCUACCGUUAGUUGCCAUCAGGUGAAGCUGGGCACUCUGGCGGGACUGCCAGGUGUAAGCCGAGAGGAAGGUGGGGAUGACGUCAAAUCAGCACGGCCCUUACGUCCGGGGCUACACACGUGUUACAAUGGCAGGUACAGAGGGCAGCUACCCAGCGAUGGGAUGCGAAUCUCGAAAGCCUAUCUCAGUUCGGAUUGGAGGCUGAAACCCGCCUCCAUGAAGUUGGAUUCGCUAGUAAUCGCGCAUC
rnacentral:rRNA from 1 species